CUACGGGCCGCACCAGUAAGGAAUAUUGGGCAAUGGACGCAAGUCUGACCCAGCCAUGCCGCGUGCAGGAUGACAGCCCUACGGGUUGUAAACUGCUUUUAUACGGGAAAAAUUCCCCGGUCGUGAAUCGGGGUUGAUGGUACCGUAAGAAUAAGCGUCGGCUAACGCCGUGCCAGCAGCCGCGGUAAUACGGAGGAUGCAAGCGUUAUCCGGAUUCAUUGGGUUUAAAGGGUGCGUAGGCGGAAUGAUAAGUCAGUGGUGAAAUCCUACAGCUUAACUGUAGAACUGCCAUUGAUACUGUUGUUCUUGAGUACAUUUGAAGUGGGCGGAAUGUGUCAUGUAGCGGUGAAAUGCAUAGAGAUGACACAGAACACCGAUCGCGAAGGCAGCUCACUAAACUGUAACUGACGCUGAGGCACGAAAGCGUGGGGAUCAAACAGGAUUAGAUACCCUGGUAGUC
rnacentral:rRNA from 1 species